AGCCCAUACAAGAAGGUGAGAGACCUUUACAUAGGGAUGAGAUAUACGCACACGUAUUAGGGACUUGACCAGAUUUAUCUCGUGGAAGAGGAGCUGGUUAUAAGUCAACUUUGAUUGGGACUUCAUAUCAUAUGAAGAGUGGAAAUCUACGAAGAAAAAAUGUAUAGACAUGCAAGCAAAAUUACAAAAGAUGAAAGUGAUUGAGGGACAGCUAAUAGAAAUGGCAAGUUUGAAAGAGCGGUUACAACAUAUAAAAGAAAUGAUGGCUCACUUCCUAUUGUAUGGAAGGAUUAACC
rnacentral:lncRNA from 1 species